CUUCGCCGAGCCCAGCCACAGCGGCCGGCCCUCGGGCCGGUCCUGGCCGUAGGUGGCGAGCAGCGCCUGUGCCUC
rnacentral:antisense_RNA from 1 species